UGCCUCGUUUUCCUGGUCUUCCUGUGGGUCCUCGGUGUCCUGCUAUCCCAGGCUCACCCUUUGGACCCAUUUCACCCUGGAGAGAAGACAGAGAAGCAAGAGAGGAAUUAAGAGAUGUGGAAUAGGAACACUUAUACAGGUUUAUCCAGUCAUUGGCUGCUGGAUCUUUCCAAAGCUUUCCCAACUGGGCUGCGCUGGGAGAUUGGGAAGCGAUGAAGUCAUGAGAAAGGCAGGUACGUCUUUUAAGAAAGAGGAAGAACGAAGGUAACCCUGGGUGGGUUAUUUAUUAUCUGACAGAGAAAGCUGUAGGGCAGCACACAUUUUGGUGGCCAAAUGCGGGGGGAGACAAACCAUCAUCUGGAAUAGCCAAAGUGGGAGAGUGGGAGGGUUGUGCACUACAGUCACAUGUGUGCCUGUGACCCUGCAGCUGUCUGGGGGACAUGCUUUUCCUUCCAGUUGAAAUUUUAUGUUGUGCUUUAUUGUCUUUUGUUUUUUAGCACAAAUUCAAAUUUAAAGGUUUUUGAGUGAUUGGACACAGUUUUGCCAACUAUCAUCUUUGGGAAGUUUCUGCUUUUGCUUGGGAUUAUCUAGUUCGCCACUCUUUAGUAAAUAUUGGUUUAAGUUCCAGCUCACUUCCAUUUGAUUUAGAUGGAAACUCUUUUUGUGGGGAGAGAUUUUCCAAAGACAUGUUCAGAUAUUCAAUAUAAUUAUUGAAAAAGGCAGGGAAAGUAUGUAAACAAUAUUCCAGUUUGAUAAGCCUAUGUUGAACUUUUAGAACCAAGUGCACUAGCUGCGGGAUUUCAUAGUUUAAGGCCAAUCUUUCACAAAACCCAUUUCUCCAUCUUAGUUUCUCUUCUUCUUCUUCUAUUGUACAUGUUCUUCUAGGGUUCCAGCCCUGUUUACAGUUUCUUUGAGGCAUGAACCCACAGGGCGCAUCAUUCCUAUCUCCAGUAAUCCCCCGAGAGCCCAGAAAGCACCACCACCAAGCGGCAGCGGCCAAAAUGAAGUUCAAUCCCUUUGUGAUUUCUGACCGAAGCAAGAACCGCAAAAGGCAUUUCAAUGCACCUUCCCACGUUCCCAGGAAGAUUAUGUCUUCCCCUCUCUUUCCAAAGAGCUGAGAUAGAAAUACAGUGUUUGAUCCAUGCCCAUCCGAAAGUGUGAUGAGGUUCAGGUGGUUUGGGGACACUAUAAAGGUCAGCAAAUUGGCAAAGGAGUCCAGGCUUACAGGAAGAAAUAUGUCGUCUACGUUGAACGGGAGCAGCGGGAAAAGGCUAAUGGCACAACUGCCCAUGUGGGUAUUCACCCCAGCAAGGUGGUUAUCACUAGGCUUAAACUGGACAAAGACCGCAAAAUGAUCCUUGAACAGAAAGCCAGAUCUUGCCAAGCAGGAAAGGAAAAAAGGCAAGUACAAGGAAGAAAAUUGAGAAGAUGCAGGAAUAA